rnacentral:rRNA from 1 species
CAGUAGCCACGGAAAUACGAAGGGGGCUAGCGUUGCUCGGAAUUACUGGGCGUAAAGGGAGCGUAGGCGGACAUUUAAGUCAGGGGUGAAAUCCCGGGGCUCAACCUCGGAAUUGCCUUUGAUACUGGGUGUCUUGAGUAUGAGAGAGGUAUGUGGAACUCCGAGUGUAGAGGUGAAAUUCGUAGAUAUUCGGAAGAACACCAGUGGCGAAGGCGACAUACUGGCUCAUUACUGACGCUGAGGCUCGAAAGCGUGGGGAGCAAACAGGAUUAGAUACCCCCGUAGUCCCUGUCUCUUAUAC